UACGUAGGGGGGCUAGCGUUGUCCGGAUUUAUUGGGCGUAAAGGGCGCGUAGGCGGCCCGGUAAGUCAAAGGUGAAAUCCCUCGGCUCAACUGAGGAACUGCCUUUGAAACUGUCGGGCUUGAGGCCGGGAGGGGGGUAGCGGAAUUCCCAGUGUAGCGGUGAAAUGCGUAGAUAUUGGGAGGAACACCGGUGGCGAAGGCGGCAUCCUGGACCGACACUGACGCUGAGGAGCGAAAGCCAGGGGAGCAAACGGG
rnacentral:rRNA from 1 species